rnacentral:rRNA from 1 species
AUUGAACGCUGGCGGCGGGCCUAACACAUGCAAGUCGAGCGGAUGAAGGGAGCUUGCUCCUGGAUUCAGCGGCGGACGGGUGAGUAAUGCCUAGGAAUCUGCCUGGUAGUGGGGGAUAACGUCCGGAAACGGGCGCUAAUACCGCAUACGUCCUGAGGGAGAAAGUGGGGGAUCUUCGGACCUCACGCUAUCAGAUGAGCCUAGGUCGGAUUAGCUAGUUGGUGGGGUAAAGGCUUACCAAGGCGACGAUCCGUAACUGGUCUGAGAGGAUGAUCAGUCACACUGGAACUGAGACACGGUCCAGACUCCUACGGGAGGCAGCAGUGGGGAAUAUUGGACAAUGGGCGAAAGCCUGAUCCAGCCAUGCCGCGUGUGUGAAGAAGGUCUUCGGAUUGUAAAGCACUUUAAGUUGGGAGGAAGGGCAGUAAGUUAAUACCUUGCUGUUUUGACGUUACCAACAGAAUAAGCACCGGCUAACUUCGUG